UACGUAGGGUGCAAGCGUUGUCCGGAAUUAUUGGGCGUAAAGAGCUUGUAGGCGGUUUGUCGCGUCUGCUGUGAAAUUUCGGGGCUCAACCCCGAACUUGCAGUGGGUACGGGCAGACUAGAGUGUGGUAGGGGAGACUGGAAUUCCUGGUGUAGCGGUGAAAUGCGCAGAUAUCUGGAGGAAUACCGGUGGCGAAGGCGGGUCA
rnacentral:rRNA from 1 species